GAUGAAGAACGUAGCGAAAUGCGAUAAGUAAUGUGAAUUGCAGAAUUCAGUGAAUCAUCGAAUCUUUGAACGCACAUUGCGCCCCUUGGUAUUCCGAGGGGCAUGCCUGUUCGAGUGUCAUUAUAACCCCUCAAGCUCAGCUUGGUGUUGGGGCCUGCUGCACUGGCAGCCCUUAAAAUCAGUGGCGGCGCCAUCUGGCUCUAAGCGUAGUAAUUCUUCUCGCUAUGGAGUCCUGGUGGAUGCUUGCCAUCAACCCCCAAUUUUUCUAUGGUUGACCUCGGAUCAGGUAGGGAUACCCGCUGAACUUAAGCAUAUCAAUAAGCGGAGGA
rnacentral:misc_RNA from 1 species